rnacentral:tRNA from 1 species
CUCUGCUGCCGAGCGGUCGUUGCUGCCGCUGCCGGCCGCACGGCGGCGGGCGCCGCUCGGCCCGUUCGAAACGGGUGGCGAGGG